GCUAUUUCUUUGGGCCGCUUCCGUGGCAUAUGGAGGUUCCCAGGCUAGGGGUCUAAUUGGAGCUGUAGCAACCGGCCUACGCCAGAGCCACAGCAACGCAGGAUCCGAGCCGCGUCUACAACCUACACCACAGCUCACGGCAACGCCGGAUCGUUAAUCUACUGAGCAAGGGCAGGGACUGAACCCGCAACCUCAUGGUUCCUAGUCGGAUUCGUUAACCACUGCGCCACGACGGGAACUCCCGGGAUAUCGUUUUUUAUCUUAACCCAUCUCCUGUUUUCUUUUUACACAGAAAUGAAAGUAACACCAUCUUACAUAUGAGAGUGGAAAGGCACAGAAAAAUCAGUUCUGACUACGCCGGAAUAGUGCGGUGGAAUUAGAGCAUCAAAGGAAAACUCUCUUAGAGAGGGCAUUGCGAAUACAUACUAGCUGCUUGUUUUCAGCUGGUAACUGCCCACGCACCUGCAAUCGGAUGAAAAUGAAAUCCGUGGCCUCUUAGGACAGGCUGCCCUUGACAUUCAGAGCAGGAGCCACAAGGAUUUGUGGUAAAAAGCCAGGUAGUGUAUAUUUGAGGCUUUUGCAGGCCGUACAUUUCUCUCACAAGUAACUCUACUCCAACACUGUGGCAGAAAAACAGCUCCAGACAAUACAUAAAUGAAGGACAUAGCCAUGUUCCAAUAAAACUUUAUUGGCAAAAUCAAGUGAUGAGCCAGACUUGGCGUGCGAGCCAUAGUUUGCUGAUUCCUGGUUUAGAACAAACACAGCAGGGAGUUCCCAUUGUGGCUCAGCAGCAACAACCAAACUACGCAGGUUCAAUCCCUGGCCUUGCUCAGUGGGUUAAGGAUCUGGUGUUGCCGUGAGCUGUAGUGUAGGUCACAGAGGCAACUCAGAUCUGGUGUUGCUGUGGCUGGCAGCUGCAGCUCCUAUUCGACCCCUAGUCUGGUAACUUCCAUAUGCCAUGACUGUGGCCCUAAAAAUAAACAAACAAACAAACAUUUAAAAAGGGGGGGGGGAUUCCCAUUGUGGCUCAGCGGUAAUGGAACUGACUAGUAUCCAUGAGGAUGCGGGUUUGAUCCCUGUCCUCACUCAACGGGUUAAGGAUCCAGCAUUGCCAUGAGCUGUGGCAUAGGUCGCAGACACAGCUUGGAUCCUGAGUUACUGUGAGCUGUGGUGUAGGCCAGCAGCUGCAGCUCCAUUCAACCCCUAGCCUGGGAACGUCCAUAUACCGAGGGUGCGGCCCUAAAAAAAAAGAAAGAAGGAAAGAACGAAAGAAAACCUGCAGAGCAAAUCACCAGCCUGUGAGAAAUCCAAGAGGAGCCAUGGUCAGGGCAGCCCCCACAGGCUGUCUCAUCUAUGCUCCAGACAUCCCGGAGCAUAAGGGGUCUACAACCCCCACACCCCACACCCCCGCCAGGGCCUCAGAGAUCUCGACCCAGGGGAGGCCCAGGAACAGGAGGGCCAGUGACAGCUCAGCCCUGCUGCCUGAGGGCCUCUGUGCCGGGCCUUGGGCUCCAGCUCGCCCGCCACCCUCUUUUUAAGGUUUUAUGUGGCCUGGAUCCUGAAAUAAGAGCUCUCUGUGGGAGGAAAUUAAGGCAGGAAGGGGAAGACUGAGCAGCAUGUCCACCAGCAGAGAUGGAGCAGCCUGGACAUCGAGAAGCAGAAAAAACAAGGUCCCAGAGUCGGGACAGAAGACGGCAUGGAGAGCAAAGGAUUUACCAUACGGCCCAAAAGUUACCAGAGACCCUGGGGAGGUGAGUUGCGCUGGCCAGAGGAAGGCCUGAGACCCCUGCCUGGGGGAGGGUGUGAGGUUCAGAGACCUGGGGAUUCCUAGGAGCCAAGUGUUCUGAUGCAAAGAUUAAACAAAGGCCAGUGACUUAGGCUAAGAGUGAAAGGCUGGUUUCAGGAGCUCCCACUGUGGCUCAGAGGGUCACAAACCCAACUAGUAUCCAUGAGGACUUAGGUUCAAUCCCUGGCCUCGCUCAGUGGGUUAAGGAUCCGGUGUUGCCAAGAGCUGUGGCAUAGAUCACAGACACGGCUCAGAUCUGGUGUUGCUGAGGUUGUGGUGUAGGCUGGUGGCUACAGCUCUGAUUAGACCCCUAGCCUGGGAAUGUCCAUAUGCCACAGGUGUGGCCCUAAAAA
rnacentral:lncRNA from 1 species